rnacentral:rRNA from 1 species
GAUCAUGGCUAAGGACGAACGCUGGCGGCGCGCCUAACACAUGCAAGUCGAACGGAGCUUGAAGAGCUUGCUUUUUAAGCUUAGUGGCGAACGGGUGAGUAACGCGUGAGUAACCUGCCCUGGAGUGGGGACAACAGUUGGAAACGACUGCUAAUACCGCAUAAGCCCACGGAUCUGCAUGGAUCUGCGGGAAAAGGAUUUAUUCGCUUCAGGAUGGACUCGCGUCCAAUUAGCUAGUUGG